UACAGAGGUCUCAAGCGUUGUUCGGGUUUACUGGGCGUAAAGGGUGCGUAGGCGGUCGGCUAAGUCGAAUGUGAAAGCCCGUGGCUCAACCACGGAAUUGCAUUCGAUACUGGUUGACUUGAGGACUGGAGAGGAGACUGGAAUUCACGGUGUAGCAGUGAAAUGCGUAGAGAUCGGGAGGAAGGCCAGUGGCGAAAGCGGGUCUCUGGACAGUUCCUGACGCUGAGGCACGAAGGCCAGGGGAGCGAACGGG
rnacentral:rRNA from 1 species